CUGGGCGUAAAGCGUGCGCAGGCGGUUUGCUAAGACCGAUGUGAAAUCCCCGGGCUCAACCUGGGAACUGCAUUGGUGACUGGCAGGCUAGAGUAUGGCAGAGGGGGGUAGAAUUCCACGUGUAGCAGUGAAAUGCGUAGAGAUGUGGAGGAAUACCGAUGGCGAAGGCAGCCCCCUGGGCCAAUACUGACGCUCAUGCACGAAAGCGUGGGGAGCAAACAGGAUUAGAUACCCUGGUAGUCCACGCCCUAAACGAUGUCAACUAGUUGUUGGGGAUUCAUUUCCUUAGUAACGUAGCUAACGCGUGAAGUUGACCGCCUGGGGAGUACGGUCGCAAGAUUAAAACUCAAAGGAAUUGACGGGGACCCGCACAAGCGGU
rnacentral:rRNA from 1 species